UGGGGAAUAUUGGACAAUGGGCGAAAGCCUGAUCCAGCCAUGCCGCGUGUGUGAAGAAGGCCUUUCGGUUGUAAAGCACUUUAAGCGAGGAGGAGGCUACUUAGAUUAAUACCCUAGGAUAGUGGACGUUACUCGCAGAAUAAGCACCGGCUAACUCUGUGCCAGCAGCCGCGGUAAUACAGAGGGUGCGAGCGUUAAUCGGAUUUACUGGGCGUAAAGCGUGCGUAGGCGGCUUCUUAAGUCGGAUGUGAAAUCCCUGAGCUUAACUUAGGAAUUGCAUUCGAUACUGGGAAGCUAGAGUAUGGGAGAGGAUGGUAGAAUUCCAGGUGUAGCGGUGAAAUGCGUAGAGAUCUGGAGGAAUACCGAUGGCGAAGGCAGCCAUCUGGCCUAAUACUGACGCUGAGGUACGAAAGCAUGGGGAGCAAACAGG
rnacentral:rRNA from 1 species